AGCAAAUUUGCAGAGAUUUUUCACCCCUAUCAGACCAUGCAUGGUCAUUUUGGGGAAGGACAUUAAUGGUUCGUCCUUCCUCCCAUCCAGAUUUCAACCGUUGAAAGAGGGUGAAAUUUGUUUUUUUCUUCUUUCCCCUCUGCUUCAAUCUGAAAUCCGUAAUGAGUUUUGGCUGUUUGUUGAUUUCAAAUCGUUUCCUUACCCGUUCUUUUUCAUUUUUCACAGUACAAAUUUAAUGAAUUUUUGUCUUUUAUUUCGUCUGUUUCUGAUCAGAAGAGUUCUAACAUUUUGUGUUUGAAAAGAUUCAACUUAAAUCCCGCCCAAUUUCUUCUUUUAAAACGCCAGCAAACCCUAGAAAUAGGCGAUAAAUAAUCUUUUCUUAAGUCGUUUUGAAGCAGCUCUAGAACCGCCACAAUCCCCUAAGAAAUAUUAGUUCAUCAGUCUUAUAUUUCUGAAUAUCGAGUCAAAAACACUAAGUCAUUUUUUGGUUUUCGUUUGUCUUGGUAUUGCUUCGAAUCCGAGCAUCGCAAGCUCGGAUUAGUCUUCGAGGUAGAUUGGAAACCCCGCACCCUGUUCGCUGCACCCGAAGAAGGUAAUUUCCCCUUUCCCUUUUACUUUCUGCUUAAUCUAUGUUUUCUUAAUCAUUGUUAGGUUUAAAACAUGCUGAUUAGUUAGAUUAGCUUGAUAAGCCUGUUCGUAUGUUGAUAUUAAUUCGGACCUAAUCAGUCUUGUAUGAUGAUUUAAUUAUCGAGUUUGGCUCUGUUUACAUAAUUACAUAUAUUAUGGGGUACAACAACAAUCUCGUGUUUAAUUUGUAUGAUCUCCAUUCUUUUGUAGCAACAUUUUUGAUAUAAUAAAGGUAACAAUUUCUAUCCAGUUUACUCCCUUAUAUUUCUUUUCUCAUUGCGUUUUUUGAUGGUAUAAAUAAGUUUUUAUCUGAUGGGAUGAAUACUUGUAUUUCAUGAAUAGGAUAUUUUUGAGUGCGCCUCUAUUAAUAGUAGGGCCAGCAUCUUGCGAAAAAAAGGUGAGGCCUCUGAAUUUCUUGAACUCUCACGGUCCAUAGGGAUAAGAAUGAACUAUGAUCAUGACGUUCAAUUUCUUCCCCUCUUAAUAGUUACAGUAGCAAUACGGCUGAAGCUAGAGCAAUUUGGGCUAAAAUGUUGUAUAGAUAAUGAUCCCGACAACGUCAUCAUUGAAAUUGAUUUUCCACCAUGGCAUUUGAGGGAGAUUAUUUGUAGAUUCAAGACCUAUUGAUAUGACUAACUGUACAAUAUAAUGUUGUUAUAGAGAAGCUAAUCAAGUAGCGGACGCUUUGCCAGUGGAGUAUUGACAACUCGAGUCUUAUUCUCCAUUCCAACGAUGAUCUGCCUCAAAGGGCUAGGGGCUUAUAUACACUUGAUUUAUUUCAGAUGACCUUUUUCCAACAUAAGCACAAGAAUUAUAGUUUUUUGUGAGCUUUUUCCUUCUGUGUAAUCUUUCUCUAUUGUUAGUAUAAGCAAGCAUAAUCUUUGUAUUUUCGCCAACUUUAGGUAGGCUUAAGUUCUUUUCUUUAGCAGUCGUAUAUCCACUUCUGUUGAUGAUCUUUCUCAAUGUUGAAUGAAACCCAAACGCUAUAGGAACAAUUGAUUUAAAAAAAUUCUCUGAGUUGUAAUAUAUAUAUAU